rnacentral:rRNA from 1 species
AGAGUUUGAUCCUGGCUCAGGAUGAACGCUGGCGGCGUGCCUAACACAUGCAAGUCGAGCGAUUCUCUUCGGAGAAGAGCGGCGGACGGGUGAGUAACGCGUGGGUAACCUGCCCUGUACACACGGAUAACAUACCGAAAGGUAUGCUAAUACGAGAUAAUAUACUUUUAUCGCAUGGUAGAAGUAUCAAAGCUCCGGCGGUACAGGAUGGACCCGCGUCUGAUUAGCUAGUUGGUAAGGUAACGGCUUACCAAGGCGACGAUCAGUAGCCGACCUGAGAGGGUGAUCGGCCACAUUGGAACUGAGACACGGUCCAAACUCCUACGGGAGGCAGCAGUGGGGAAUAUUGCACAAUGGGCGAAAGCCUGAUGCAGCAACGCCGCGUGAGCGAUGAAGGCCUUCGGGUCGUAAAGCUCUGUCCUCAAGGAAGAUAAUGACGGUACUUGAGGAGGAAGCCCCGGCUAACUACGUG